AUUGAAGGGUUGGUGGUGGAGGUGAUGGGAUCUUGCUGGAGAUCCCUGUGCAUCUGAGGCCUUCUAAGGACUCAGAAAGCAGAAGGAGGUGCAGCAAUGUCCUGGCUGCCCACAGGCAGGCGCAGCAUUGUGACGGCAGCCACAGCCCCCACUGCCCACCCCACGCUGGCCCCAGCUGUGGCAAGGCCCACGUCUGGGCAAAGGGAACCGUCAUCAUGGAAGGGUCAGAGGAGCAAAGAAAGGAGUGAAGGGAGGUCAGCUGGCACCAGGGUGUGCUUGGAUCCAUCAUCCCCUGGGAACGGCUCUGGGCCCACUUCUGGCUUUUAUCUCACAGCAGGUGGAUGGGAUUGAACAAAGCCAUGUGAAACGCUCCUCCGCCUGCCAGCAGAUCCCCAUUGCCCAGCUGCCACGCAUGCUUAGGAGCGGGUCACCAAUGAACCCCCAGUGCCAAACAUUUCAGGACACAACGUAACACUGGAAUCUCUGCUGAGGUGUCGUGGGCUCAAGCACAGUCCCGAGGCAGCGCUGCCCUUCGUCCCCUGAGGAGGGGACACCGGGACCAACCCUUGUGCUCCCCCGGCUCUGGGUCACGGCUGCAGUGAAACUGUUGGAUGACGGCACAUGGAAGUGGGCGAGUCUGGGCACGAGGAAGCAGGAAAAGGAUCUUUUUUUCCCCGUGCCAUUUCAGUACAUGCUGAGGAAAUCAAGUGAAAGGCAGAGAUCACAAGCUCUUAACUGCUAAAGAUAUUUGCAAGAGUCAUUUCCGCCAAUGUCUCCUGUUCCAUAUAUAGAUCCAUAGAGUCUGUGCUUCUAAUGGACUGACAAAUGCACCAUAACCCCGGAUGACUGUUGCUUCAUUGCUUGGCUAUACAGAUAAGAAGAAUGCUUCCUUUUGAUUGAGAUCUUAAAUCAAUUGUUCCCUUACCCAGCGUCUCGUGGUUAUUAUCCAAGGAGAAGAUAAAGUUCAGGUGGUAAAUUGUUAAUAUUGUAAGAAAAAUGUCUGUUGUGUCCUGCUUAAAGUUCCCUGUCUGGAUGAAAUACACCCUCCUAUAAUAUUUAAGGCUGCACGUGAUCCAUCAGCGCACGCCGGCCCUGCUGCGUGGUGCUGCCAGCUGUGAAGCACAGCACUGCAGGGCUGCGCCGGGGAGCGGGGCCCUUAAGGUGCCGCCUGGGAUCACCCGCUGCAGUGCUGGGAGCGGAGCAACCCGUGACCCCGCUCGGGAUGCUCUUCUACCACCUCUCCAUAUCCGUGUUACCACGCACCAGGUUCCCCCGCAGGCAGACAGCACACGGAGUCUCACGUUUGUUUCCAAAGCGAGCGACAGCGGCGGUCCUUCCUCUGCCCGUCUCCGAGCCGCUGUGGCCGUCACUUUUCGCACUGAUUUGUCACCGAACUCUCACCCAUGUCACCAAGAGACGUAGCUCCGUGAUCUCCUACCGGGUUCUCCUAUCGCACCGGGUGAACUUAACCCCUCUCAGCGUCGCUCCCGCUGAUGAAUGGCUGCGUGCCGCCAUGUGAUUUCCUGUCCUUGGGCAGGUGCGCAUCUUUCACUGAACAGUGAAACAAUCAGAGCAUUAAUAUCUAUGCUCUGCAGGAAGGGGCUGUCCCGACCCGUUCCCAGCUGCCUGGGGCCGCGGUGUCACACAGCAGCGGGUGCUCGCACCGCUCCCGCACGGCCCCGCCGGGCUCUGCCGAGCAGGGACCUGGGCCGCCCCGGGGCUGGGGGCUGCUCCCGCGUGGGAAACCCCGGCACUGCCCGCCCCCCCGCGCCCCGCCCCGCAGCUCUGCUCCUUUCAGUGCAGCACUGGCAGAGCUCGCGCUGCCCUCUGUGCUUUUCCUGCCCGGGGAACACGCGGCGGACAUUUGUCAGGCCAGGACAUCUCACCAACAUUAAACGUGACUUUUUUUUUUCCUUUAAAGACUCCUUGGGGAUUGUAAGGGACCUUUUUGACAGUUAACAGCAACCCCGCGCUGUGCAGCUCCAUUGCAGCCUCUGCAAACAUUCACCUGCAGCAAGAGGCUCCUGCCUCUGUCGCACUCCUGGUUCUUUUCCUAGUGACGGGAAUCAGUAGCAGCAGAUACGAGGCGCAGAUAAACGUACACAGUUGAUGGGGGGCAAAUGGCCCUUCAGAGAGCGUUAUUCUCGCGGAUUUCUGCUCGUCUCUGCCUUUUUACAUGUUUUAGCUGAAUGCUCUGCGUGUUAUCUUGCUCACCUUGAGCGCCCGAGCUCUCCCAUCCCUCUCCAACGCGCUUUCAGCGUUCUGCAAUGUCAGACGUUGCUCCCAGCUGUAAGAGAAAUUAUCUUUUAUUCUUCUUUAAAGGAAGGCAAUUCAGAGCGUUUCCAUCCGCAGAGGCAGCGGCUCCUGCUGCAGCCCGGCCCCGAGAGGAGCCCUUCCCCCGCGCGGUCCGACCCCAGCAGCGGCAGCGCGCGCCUUUUCCCGGCGGUUCUUACAUCCUCGCGUAGUGCCUUUAUUACUCAUACCAAGCUGUCUUUCAGAUCGGCUUCCAGAGACACUCCAGAUUAGAUUUUCUUCGUUAUCGUUAUAGAACUGGAUGAGUAAGUGGCACAUCUGUUCACAAAGUGGUUUAUUAUCUGUUCUGAUGGGGUUUGGGAUGAAUAGCGGAAUGGCUUAAAUACGGAGCAGGCGAACGCAUACAGGUUUGUGCACGGUCUGAGACGUGUAACCAGCACCGCUAACUUGAGGAUUCUGACUCCAUACUAAAGAGGCAAUUAUUAACUAACGAUCCAAGGCAAUGUAUCAUGAGGGCAAGCUUAACGAAGGAACAAGAGGAGACAGAACACAAACGCGCGUGUGGAAUUGCACUAAUGAAGACCCACACGCUGUGCAACUGGUUCUCAUUCCAUCACUGUAGAGGAAAAGGAUAAAUAUUUUACAAACACCCCGCUCCAGCCACGCAAAGCCAAAUUGCACCAAUAAAUCUGUUUAUCCGGAAGUUAUUUCCUAAUUUCUUACAGCUGCGCCGCUUACAAAGGAGGACGGCGAUCAUUUGUCUCAGGCACAGAGGCAGCGCUCCCGCUUUGCACCCAGACGUCCCCGCGGUGCCCAGCAGGACGCCGGGUGCAGCCGGGUGCAGGCAGGGGCAGUGGGCAGCGCCAGGGGCUCUGCUGGAUGCUGCAGAUGUGGGGAAACGAGGCAGCGGGUCCCUGGGAUCCUCACCCCUUCACAUAGGGGAAGGGAAACGUCAGUGGAUUGUGCACCAAGUACAGGCCUGUGUAAGACGGAGGGCUGCAUCUCGAGAUCCAAGUGACAAAUCGCUCGAGCUGCAGGAGCUGUCACAGCAUACAAGGUUGCCAGGAACAAUCAAUGAAAUUAUAGCCCUGUGCUACAUGGUUGUUUAUCUGCUAUUAUGGAAAUAAGGUACCAUCAAAACUGUUGAAAAAACUUGAAGAUUACAGUAGGUACAAUUUUGGGAGAUGACAGCAACAUUUUAUCAUGUUAUUCUGACGGGUCCUGUUAAAAAAAAUCCCUGACUUCUGCAGUUGUUGCCUGCAUGGAGAUGGGAGGAUAACAGGGAACGCUGUUCGUCAGCAGUUGCACAAGAGCAGACCUGGAGCUCUGUGCGGGGCCUCAGGGCAGCGCUGCGAUGGGGUCAGCUCAGAUGGGUGCCCAUGGAUGAGCUGAGGCACAGAGCAGCCACAGAGCAUCCAUGAGUUGGUGUCACACAGCAUCUUCCAGAAUAACCGAGAGCUCUCGGUACAGCUCAGAGCAGCACGCCACCAGAUGACGAAUCCAGACCUCUCCUCGCCAUCCCAGCUUGGAGCUGCACCUGAUGGGGCUGUUCCAGGAGCCGCUGGCUGGGGUCUCCCUGCAGGGACGUGGGGCAGCAGGAGCAGCCCCAGCUCAGCAUGGGGAGCCUCCAUUAAACAUGAUUUGUUUACUAAAAAUACCAGCAACUGGACAUCGCCAAUGUCAAAAAAACUACAGAGAACAUUUUGCCCCAAAACUGUACUCUCACCAUAUUGUUACCUACAUUUUUUGAGAUGUUUUUAUUGUCUAUUCUCCAAAUUUUAUGAGUCAGAAAGUCUUUGCUCUGGCUUUUGUGAAGAGGUAUGAUUUACACCUGGAUCGCUGGUGUGGGAGCUUUAGAUAUUAAAAACUAACGUUCAGUCUAGAUGAGCCCUACACCAUCACUCCUACGGGGAGCUGCUGUGCUGAACAUCUCAGUCCAUUUCUGAACACAGUAUCAACCACCUCUGUCCUUGACAAGCCCUAAGGAAAGGAACAUUUACCAGUCUCUGUGGGAACGGUCUAACAGAUAUCUGGAAAUGACAUUUCAUGAGAGGGCGUGCUCUGGCUGGGAGAUAACAGAAGGUUGCUGCCUUGCCUUGGAAGUUCUGUGUUUCCUCCCCACACAGUCGCUGUCAUCACAGCACCCCCACCUCACGGCGCUUAUUUUAGGAGACGCUUUCUCUGUGCUCUCACGUCAGCUCCAGUGUGGAAGAUUCCCAAAAGGGGCAGUUUGGAGCCUCAGUCUAUUUGUGGCUGCCACGGCACCUCCUGCACCACGCACUGCUGCCCGCGGAGCCGCCGAGCACAGCACCCACUGCGCACUGAGCGCUGCCCACACCCCCAGCAGAUAGUGCUGAGCUCUGGCCCAGGCGCUGCUGGAAGUUUCCCCACACCAAGCAUAGCGAUGUGGGUCCCCUCUCUAUGUUCAUUCCUUAAAUUCCCAUGUAUUCUGCCCACGUAACACAGAAGGAACACCUGCCACAACAGACUCACCGGGCUGGACAGUGUGAUGCUCCCCCCUCUUCCAGCUGCUUCCCGGCUGCCUUCGCUUGCAGGGUCUUACCAGGCCCCUGUGGUUGUUUGGAAUGGAGCACCCCUCCUGCAUUUGUCCAUACGUGGUCACAUAAGGACAAACAGUGAAGGUCUCCUCUUGCCAGCUUGCCAAGGAGAACAACUGUCCUUAAUUAAUCGGAUAACAUCAAUGGCCAAGACGCUCUGCAUUAGUAUAAGCAGCUCUUGAUCAAAGCAUUCUACAUCUGUGAUGAUAAAACACAGGCAAUGGCCCCUUCUUUCCAAGGGAAGGUCAUUGCUUCCACCACAUGCAUCUCCUCCCUUCCAAAGGCUCAGGCAUUCACCUGGGAUCAGCCUCGGGGCAGCCACUGCUCUGGCUGUGUCCAUGCCACAUCCCAGCCCUGGGGCACUCGCUCCCCUUUCCCCUCACCACGGUCCAGCCUCAGCCCCACGUCCCAGAGGAGCUGGGCUGGCACGCGCUGCUCCAGCAGCACAGCACUGCCCCGGCAGGGAGCUGCGUGCCCAGAGCUGUGAGCUGACACCGCGCGCUUGGCUCUAAUAGUAAAAUCAGGGGGACUAUUAAAGUAGAUUAUGCACUAAUAAUUAUGCAAAUAUUCCUUCAGUGAAACUAUAAAAAUCUCAUGAAGAUUUAGCACCUGGCUAUUAUAUGGAAAGAAAUAUGUGGAAAUGAAAAUGAAGAUCAUUAACUUUAAGGAGUUAGGGGAAUUUUUCUGCUAUCAUUUAAACACACAGCUUGGGAUGCCUUUGAAGGUUUAACCUGGAGGAGAUCAUCACUUAUAACACUGCUGAAACACAGUUGCAGGAUGACAAUGGGCUCUGCCUGGAGGAGGGAUGGCAGCAGAGCCCACCCGGCCUGUGCCUUCAGGAAGAGAGCAAUAGCAUUAUGGUACUUACAGGGAGCUG